ACACGUGGUAUCCUGUCUGAAUAUGGGGGGACCAUCCUCCAAGGCUAAAUACUCCUGACUGACCGAUAGUGAACCAGUACCGUGAGGGAAAGGCGAAAAGAACCCCGGCGAGGGGAGUGAAAAAGAACCUGAAACCGUGUACGUACAAGCAGUGGGAGCACGCUUCGGCGUGUGACUGCGUACCUUUUGUAUAAUGGGUCAGCGACUUAUAUUCUGUAGCAAGGUUAACCGAAUAGGGGAGCCGAAGGGAAACCGAGUCUUAACUGGGCGUUAAGUUGCAGGGUAUAGACCCGAAACCCGGUGAUCUAGCCAUGGGCAGGUUGAAGGUUGGGUAACACUAACUGGAGGACCGAACCGACUAAUGUUGAAAAAUUAGCGGAUGACUUGUGGCUGGGGGUGAAAGGCCAAUCAAACCGGGAGAUAGCUGGUUCUCCCCGAAAGCUAUUUAGGUAGCGCCUCGUGAAUUCAUCUCCGGGGGUAGAGCACUGUUUCGGCAAGGGGGUCAUCCCGACUUACCAACCCGAUGCAAACUGCGAAUACCGGAGAAUGUUAUCACGGGAGACACACGGCGGGUGCUAACGUCCGUCGUGAAGAGGGAAACAACCCAGACCGCCAGCUAAGGUCCCAAAGUCAUGGUUAAGUGGGAAACGAUGUGGGAAGGCCCAGACAGCCAGGAUGUUGGCUUAGAAGCAGCCAUCAUUUAAAGAAAGCGUAAUAGCUCACUGGUCGAGUCGGCCUGCGCGGAAGAUGUAACGGGGCUAAACCAUGC
rnacentral:rRNA from 1 species